AGAGUUUGAUCCUGGCUCAGGAUGAACGCUGGCGGCGUGCUUAACACAUGCAAGUCGAACGAACCUUCGGGUUAGUGGCGGACGGGUGAGUAACGCGUGGGAAUCUGCCCUCAGGAGGGGGAUAACGACUGGAAACGGUCGCUAAUACCCCAUAUGCCGAGAGGUGAAAUGAAUUUCGCCUGAGGAUGAGCCCGCGUCUGAUUAGCUAGUUGGUGUGGUAAGAGCGCACCAAGGCGACGAUCAGUAGCUGGUCUGAGAGGAUGAUCAGCCACACUGGGACUGAGACACGGCCCAGACUCCUACGGGAGGCAGCAGUGGGGAAUUUUCCGCAAUGGGCGAAAGCCUGACGGAGCAACGCCGCGUGAGGGAUGAAGGCCUCUGGGCUGUAAACCUCUUUUCUCAAGGAAGAAGAUCUGACGGUACUUGAGGAAUAAGCCACGGCUAAUUCCGUGCCAGCAGCCGCGGUAAUACGGGAGUGGCAAGCGUUAUCCGGAAUCAUUGGGCGUAAAGCGUCCGCAGGUGGCUUUGUAAGUCUGCCGUUAAAGCGUGGAGCUUAACUCCAUUUCAGCGGUGGAAACUACAAGGCUUGAGUGUGGUAGGGGCAGAGGGAACUCCCGGUGUAGCGGUGAAAUGCGUAGAUAUCGGGAAGAACACCAGUGGCGAAGGCGCUCUGCUGGGCCAUAACUGACACUCAUGGACGAAAGCCAGGGGAGCGAAAGGGAUUAGAUACCCCUGUAGUCCUGGCCGUAAACGAUGAACACUAGGCGUCGGGGGAAUCGACCCCCUCGGUGUCGUAGCCAACGCGUUAAGUGUUCCGCCUGGGGAGUACGCACGCAAGUGUGAAACUCAAAGGAAUUGACGGGGGCCCGCACAAGCGGUGGAGUAUGUGGUUUAAUUCGAUGCAACGCGAAGAACCUUACCAGGGUUUGACAUCCUGCGAACCCCUGAGAAAUCGGGGGGUGCCUUCGGGAACGCAGUGACAGGUGGUGCAUGGCUGUCGUCAGCUCGUGUCGUGAGAUGUUGGGUUAAGUCCCGCAACGAGCGCAACCCACGUCUUUAGUUGCCAGCAUUUAGUUGGGCACUCUAGAGAGACCGCCGGUGAUAAACCGAAGGAAGGUGUGGAUGACGUCAAGUCAUCAUGCCCCUUACAUCCUGGGCUACACACGUACUACAAUGCUACGGACAAAGGGCAGCGAACUCGCGAGGGCAAGCAAAUCCCAUAAACCGUGGCUCAGUUCAGAUCGUAGGCUGCAACUCGCCUACGUGAAGGAGGAAUCGCUAGUAAUCGCAGGUCAGCAUACUGCGGUGAAUACGUUCCCGGGCCUUGUACACACCGCCCGUCACACCAUGGAAGUUAGCCACGCCCGAAGUCGUUACUCCAACCCUUGUGGAGGAGGAUGCCGAAGGUGGGGCUGAUGACUGGGGUGAAGUCGUAACAAGGUAGCCGUA
rnacentral:rRNA from 1 species